GACGAACGCUGGCGGCGUGCCUAAUACAUGCAAGUAGAACGCUGAAGAGAGGAGCUUGCUCUUCUUGGAUGAGUUGCGAACGGGUGAGUAACGCGUAGGUAACCUGCCUUGUAGCGGGGGAUAACUAUUGGAAACGAUAGCUAAUACCGCAUAACAAUGAGUGACACAUGUCAUUUAUUUGAAAGGGGCAAUUGCUCCACUACAAGAUGGACCUGCGUUGUAUUAGCUAGUAGGUGAGGUAACGGCUCACCUAGGCGACGAUACGUAGCCGACCUGAGAGGGUGAUCGGCCACACUGGGACUGAGACACGGCCCAGACUCCUACGGGAGGCAGCAGUAGGGAAUCUUCGGCAAUGGGGGCAACCCUGACCGAGCAACGCCGCGUGAGUGAAGAAGGUUUUCGGAUCGUAAAGCUCUGUUGUAAGUCAAGAACGAGUGUGAGAGUGGAAAGUUCACACUGUGACGGUAGCUUACCAGAAAGGGACGGCUAACUACGUGCCAGCAGCCGCGGUAAUACGUAGGUCCCGAGCGUUGUCCGGAUUUAUUGGGCGUAAAGCGAGCGCAGGCGGUUUGAUAAGUCUGAAGUUAAAGGCUGUGGCUCAACCAUAGUUCGCUUUGGAAACUGUCAAACUUGAGUGCAGAAGGGGAGAGUGGAAUUCCAUGUGUAGCGGUGAAAUGCGUAGAUAUAUGGAGGAACACCGGUGGCGAAAGCGGCUCUCUGGUCUGUAACUGACGCUGAGGCUCGAAAGCGUGGGGAGCGAACAGG
rnacentral:rRNA from 1 species